rnacentral:rRNA from 1 species
ACGGGAGGCAGCAGUGGGGAAUAUUGCACAAUGGGCGAAAGCCUGAUGUAGCGACGCCGCGUGAGCGAAGAAGUAUUUCGGUAUGUAAAGCUCUAUCAGCAGGGAAGAUAAUGACGGUACCUGACUAAGAAGCACCGGCUAAAUACGUGCCAGCAGCCGCGGUAAUACGUAGGGGGCAAGCGUUAUCCGGAUUUACUGGGUGUAAAGGGAGCGUAGACGGUCUGGCAAGUCUGAUGUGAAAGGCAGGGGCUCAACUCCUGGACUGCAUUGGAAACUGUCCGUCUUGAGUGUCGGAGAGGUAAGCGGAAUUCCUAGUGUAGCGGUGAAAUGCGUAGAUAUUAGGAGGAACACCAGUGGCGAAGGCGGCUUACUGGACGAUAACUGACGUUGAGGCUCGAAAGCGUGGGGAGCAAACAGGAUUAGAUACCCUGGUA